rnacentral:rRNA from 1 species
CACGUAGUUAGCCGGUGCUUCUUCUACACCUACCGUCACCACCCGAAGAUGGCUUCGUCGGUGUCGAAAGAGGUUUACAACCCGAAGGCCGUCAUCCCCCACGCGGCGUUGCUGCGUCAGGCUUUCGCCCAUUGCGCAAGAUUCCCCCACUGCUGCCUCCCGUAGGAGUCUGGGCCGUGUCUCAGUCCCAGUGUGGCCGGUCACCCUCUCAGGCCGGCUACCCGUCGUCGCCUUGGUAGGCCAUCACCCCGACCAACAAGCUGAUAGGCCGCGGGCUCAUCCUGCACCGCCGGAACUUUCCACACCACACCAUGCGGCACGAUGUCAUAUCCGGUAUUAGACCCCGGUUUCCAGGGCUUAUCCCAGAGUGCAGGGCAGAUUACCCCACGUGUUACUCACCCGUUCGCCACUCAUCCACGGUGCAAGCACCGCUUCAGCGUUCGACUUGCAUGUGUUAAGCACGCCGCCAGCGUCGUCCUGAGCACGGAUCGAACUAC